UGGAGAUAGACAUUGGUAUGUGUUGUACAAUUAUCACUUUAAAAGAACAGAAUCAUUUUCGUUUUGCCCUGAGUCUAAUGGGGCUUUUUCACAGGGCGACUUGACGCAAGAUGUGACCAGAGUGAAGUGGUCGUGGUCUAGCACGAUAUCAUACGAUAUAACAGGGGGGGGGGGGGGGGGUAGACAAAGAGUUCCCACGGUACUCGGCAUUUCUGUUAUUUGUGCGAGUGACUUGUCCGUCUCCCGAGCUUUCCCGUUAAAUCUUGAAUGAGCAUUGUAAACUGUCAAGUGCAAUUAAAUCAUCACGUGGCACAAAUGAUGUCAUAACUUAUUUUAUGGCGCUUAGAGACAUGAUUCCAACCUCAAACACAGAGGGUGUAAAAGCUGUCUGCGACUUUUUUACUUUGCAGCUGCAGGGCACAGACAGACUUAUAAGAGAAGUUUAAGUUAACUGCAAAAACAGCACUUUUACAUCUAUAGCAUUGUAUGUUUUUAAAUCUUGGAUAACAUUAAAUGGUUUUCCUGUUGAUGAACUAAUAUAUCGUUAUAUAUACUCACAUGAGCACCCGGGAUACUCCGCAGCCUUCGUCUCCAGCAGGUUCCGUUUUCUCGCCCUGUUUCUAUAAUCCUCUCUGGAUUUAUCGUAGAGAAUCUCGUUAAAUUGGUACCAUUCUACAAGUUCCCCCUCUUGUUCCCUGGAGAAGUUAUAUGGCCUUACCUUCUGCCAUCUUCCCUUUACAUAAGCGUCUGUAGAGGCUAUUCCUACAACGGCUACUGGGGAGGCAAUCUGAAAUCCACCUUGCUCACCCUCUCCCUGCUCCAAGGAGCCCACAGGCAGUGUUAUCUGUGGCAUCUCCUGUUACCUCUCCACCUGUCUCUCUUGCUGCGUCUCCUCCUCAUUCUCCUGCAUGGCAAAAACCUUUCUGACAUGCUUUACCCCCUUUCUUUGACCUUUUCUGGGAGCCAUCUCUGCAAGUGUUCCAGUGAAAAAGAUUCUCCAACAAUGACAAUGAGGUGGGACGUCCUCGAUGGACACAUGUUCCAUUGGCGACAUUGAGAACACCUUUUUUACUCACCUUCUGUCCCCUCUGUCCAGCUUCCGGGUUUACCGUUCGCAGGAGUUCCCACGGUAACCGCAAGAGUUACUACGGAUAUUGCACUGGCCACUACGUUCAUAAAAUGUUGCAAUGCUCAACCACAAGUCCCUCUUGGAGAAAUUCAAGCUUGCUUGAAUUUUCUCCCGAUACCCAAGUUACACGAUUACCUGCCGUUAGCGCCACGGUGGUCCACGGUGGUCCACGAAUGCCGUACUGUUAUCGCACGAGGUUCCCACGAUGUUAAACUCUGGUUACCUCUUGCGUCAAGUCGCCCCGUGAAAAAGGGGUUUAAUGCAUUAUUCUUGUUUCCAGGCUCGAUGUUGUGGUUUUGAGACCUACUCUACGAAUGUAGAGUUUCCAGUUGAAUUUGAUUUCAGUUUCUCAGAGAUAUUUUGGAAGCGACAGUAAGUCUACAAGUAGAUCUGCCUGAUAAGUAAAUCUACCUGCCAUCUUGUGUAUAUAAGAAAUUCCAUGAUGUUAUUUUGUGUAACUGUAAAGGAGUUGCCUCCUGUGGCACGGCCAAUAUUUAUCACUCAAUAAAGCAGAUUAUCACAUUGCUAAUAUGGCAUCUUAUGUGCAGAAGACUGCCAGAAUUUGAACAUUUUAAUAGUCACUACAAUGAUGAUAUAUCAAAAUUGGCUCUAAAAUGUUCCACGCUGUUUGUUUUCUGACAGGUUCUAUAUACAUACAAUAUUUUACUCUUUACUAAUAUGAAUUUAGUCAUGUGGCUUGAGCGGUGAUUAAUAUAAUUAAUUGGGAACAUAGUGCACAUCUGGAUGGUGACCUUCACAGCUGUCUAAACUAAGCAACAGAGGGAGUGGUACACAAGAUUGGUCCCAAGACAGCAGGGCCAGACUUGCAGAUGUCAGAAAAUACUACAAUGGACAUCUGUGUGGAGAGUUUAAAAACAUCUGGAUGUUUCAACACUCCCAGAAUGCCUUUGACUGCAUCAACUCCACUUUUCACGUUUGUAGGGGAGAGACAUCUUACAGCUGCCAACAGCUCAGAGGAGAACUGGUGAGGUGGCCUUCAUGCGUCAGGCUUUCAUAUCUGUGACUUGCAAAAUGGGCGUCAUCAUCUGGAGCAUCCAACUUCCCACCCCACGUCUGGAUUCAAUGCUAAUUCCGAGGGCACAAGCUGAGCCAAGGUCCAAGACACAACCUGUAUCAGGCCAUUUGACUGGGACAUUUAAGUCUAGUGGAAAAGCUGAGAGAAUGUUUUUAAAUGGCAUCCCAGGGCUGGAGUGGAAACUCAUCCGCAGAACUGGAGUGGCAACAAGUGGAAACAAGUAGCGAGGGACUACCUAAAGAAGAACAUGGAAGACAGGCAAAAUGUGCAUAAUUAAUCUGAUCCUUGAUUCCCCUACCCUGGAUAAAAGACUGUGCAUUCACCCUAUCAAUUCCCCUCUUGGUUUUAUACACGGAUAUAAGGUCUGGUAGGAUCACUCGGGUGCACCAGCAGAAUUAUGCAAGAAACUGCUCGGAAAACCUUCAACAGCUGGCAAAGAAAGGCUGUUAUGAACAUCCCCAAAGUGAACAUCCCUAAAAUCCAGAAAAUUAUUGGAAAUAAAAAUAAAUAAAAGCACCUCCCUGUCUCUACCCUUCCUCUUACCUGCCCCAAUAAGAUGUUGGUCAGGCUACACUUGGAGUACUGUGUGCUUUCUGGUCACCCUGCAAUUGGAAUGAUGUCAUCAAACUGGACAGCAUGCAAAAAAGAUUCACAAGGAUGUUCUGACUUUUUGUAGGAGCGUAAGAGUCUGAGGGAUGACCUUAGAGAGCAUAGAUAAUGUGAAAACCACAGCUUUUCCCCCAGAGUAGAGGAGUCUAAACUAAAGGACAAAGGUUUCACGGUAAGAGGGUGUAAUGAUAUUGAGUGUACCAAGCCUAAGUCAAGACUUUAAGUCCUAUCUGUUAUAACUAACAACAAGUUACCUCACUUUAGGGAGAUUACAUUGUACCAACCUAUGUCAAAGCUAAAUUUACUUGCUGCAUCUGUCUUUCCUUCUGAAUGGGUUUAACUGUCAAUAAUCACCAUUUCGAGCAGCAGAUCCCUUCUCCCAACCAAGGAAGAAAUACUUCCAGCUAACGAAACAGGUGUACUUUUAAAUGAGGCAUAUUUAAUUAUGAGGAGUAAUUUCUAUAAAGGUAAUAAAUUGGAAAGAAUUUACAGAAGUACAAUUCUUACAAUAUUAGAAAAACAUACCAGUGAAUUACAGACAAAGACGUCGUCCAUUCGACAGAGGCUGAGUGGACUCUCUGUAACUUAUUUUCCCACGCCUAAAACAUCCUCAUCUAAUUUUGACACUACUUUUCCAUUACCCACAUUGGCCAGAUCAAGUGGGUGACCUGACUUAAUUAAAUCAACGAGGGCCUUAUCUUUUCUUUUGUUAACUUUACAUUCAUUUUGAGUAUGUAAAGGUUACUGAGACCCUUAAAGAUCUUUUUUUUUCUUCCAUCAGUCCUUGGCACAGGAUGGUUCCGUUCUUAAUGACAUAAUGGAUCAGUAUUCUUGCUCUUGAUAGUGCACUAACAGAAUAGCACUUACAUUAAACCACAAUAAGCCUUUUGAACCUGGGGUCAGCUUCAGCUGAUAUGAUUGUUAACCUAGGUCAGGUUCUGCCAAUAUGCUAAAAGCUUUUUUUAUUACAAAACUGAGAUGUACAAAAGUCUUUCAAAACUUUGGUGUUAGAAAAGUGAGAUUAGCAAAAGCCUUUUCAGCCUGGAUAGUGAAGGGGAAAAUUUUGAAAAGGGACCGAAGUAGAGAUUUUGCAUGGCGCAUAAAUGGAAUGAGCUGCCGGAGAAAGUGCUAGAGAUGGGUGCAACGAUGUCACUUUAAAGAUACAUGUACCGAUGUGGUACAUGGAUUGGAUAUGGGCAUUGAGAGGCAACUGGGACUAGCUGGGUUAGGCAACUUGGUCGGCAUGGACUGUAUUGUAUAGAUCUAUGACUUUCUGACACUUAGCUCCAUCUGCCUAUUUUUUUCUUCUUGCAUCUCCACCUAUCACUUAGCAGUCAUUGCCUCAUUUCUCCCUGCCCCCCCCCCCCCUCCACUGCUUGACUCCAUCUGCCCAGCAUCUUCCCAUCUCAUUUAUACAGUUGCACCUAUCACUUGGCUAUCUUCUCCCUACACUCCUGAUGCAGGGUCUCGACAAGAGACAUCUACCAUUCUUUUGCCUCCAAGAAACUGCUUGACCUGAUGAGUUAUUCCAGCAGUUUAUUUUUUUUAUGUAUGACUUUGUUUAAGAGCCUUUUCUUGCCCAAAGUGUAGAUGACACCAUUUUGCAGUAACACCAUAUUUUAUGAGCAGCGGAUGACCACAUUCUCUAUCCCCAGCCCUGGUGAGUUAUAAAUUCUGUUUCUUAAGCGAUGGUAUCAUUUCCCAUGUUCACUGCUAAGCACUUGGAGUUCACCCACUGAAAAUUGGCACUGUGCUGAAAGUAACUUUAACUAUUUUGCAGAUGACAUAUCUAAAGGCCGUUACUUGCCCUGUAACAAUAACUCCAUUUGACUUCUAUACAGGUUUUGUUUCAUGAGCUGUGCGUAUAUUUUGGACCAACUUGCUAAUUUCAUGUUAGCUGCUGUUUCUUAACAGCUCAUAAAAUGCUUCUUUUGGUGCAGCUUUUGUUUCUCACCUCGCCUGAUGUUUCAUUGGAAAACUGACCACACCAUUCUUCAUAUGUCGUCAUACACAAGCAACCUUGCUUUGAUCCUAAGCUCCAGUGUUGUCUGUGUGGUGUUUGCCAAUUCUCCCUGCGAUUGUGUGGGGUUUCUCUACGAAUGCUCUGUUCUCCCACAUUCCAACGAUGUCCCUGUUCAACCCUGCGGUAUGAAUAUUCAUUUCUCUAACAUUAAGUAAUUCUUGCUU